rnacentral:rRNA from 1 species
GCGUGCUUAAUACAUGCAAGUCGUGCGAGAAAGUCACUCUAUCGGGUGGUGAGUAAAGCGGCGAACGGGUGAGUAACACGUAAGAAACCUGCCCCUAAAUCCGGAAUAACAUUGCUAACGCGGUGCUAAUACCGGAUGUGGUCUCCAGUUUGCAUGAACAGGAGAUUAAAGGUGACCUCUACUUGUAAGUUAUCGUUUAGGGAUGGUCUUGCGGACCAUCAGCUUGUUGGCGGGGUAACGGCCCACCAAGGCUGCGAUGGUUAGCCGGCUUAAGAGGGUGAUCGGCCACAUUGGGACUGAGAUACGGCCCAGACUCCUACAGGAGGCAGCAGUAGGGAAUUUUGCGCAAUGGACGAAAGUCUGACGCAGCAACGCCGCGUGAGCGAUGAAGGUUUUCGGAUUGUAAAGCUCUGUUGAGUGGGAAGAAAACUCUCCGGGAUAAUACCCCGGAGACUUGACGGUACCACUCGAGGAAGCCCCGGCUAAAUACGUGCCAGCAGCCGCGGUAAUACGUAUGGGGCAAGCGUUGUUCGGAAUCACUGGGCGUAAAGGGAGUGUAGGCGGAAAGGUAAGUUAGAAGUGUAAUCCACGGGCUUAACCCGUGACUCGCUUUUAAUACUGCCUUUCUUGAGUAUGGGAGAGGGAGAUGGAAUUCCAGGUGUAGCGGUGGAAUGCGUAGAUAUCUGGAAGAACACCAGUAGCGAAGGCGGUCUCCUGGCCCAAUACUGACGCUGAGGCUCGAAAGCGUGGGGAGCGAACAGGAUUAGAUACCCUGGUAGUCCACGCCGUAAACGAUGGACACUAGAUGUUGGCCUCUUCGGGGGUCGGUGUCGUAGCUAACGCGUUAAGUGUCCCGCCUGGGAAGUACGCUCGCAAGAGUGAAACUCAAAGGAAUUGACGGGGGCCCGCACAAGCGGUGGAGCAUGUGCUU